rnacentral:rRNA from 1 species
UUGAACGCUGGCGGCAGGCCUAACACAUGCAAGUCGCGCGGUUGAGAGUAGCUUGCUACUUGAUGCAGCGGCGGACGGGUGAGUAACGCGUGGGAAUCUGCCCAGUAGUGGGGGACAACAGCCGAAAACGGCUGCUAAUACCGCAUACGCCCUACGGGGGAAAGGGGGGGAGCCUCGGACCGCUCGCUAUGGGAUGAGCCCGAGUCGGAUUAGCUAGUUGGUAGGGUAAAGGCCUACCAAGGCUACGAUCCGUAACUGGUCUGAGAGGAUGAUCAGUCACACUGGAACUGAGACACGGUCCAGACUCCUACGGGAGGCAGCAGUGGGGAAUAUUGGACAAUGGGGGAAACCCUGAUCCAGCCAUGCCGCGUGUGUGAAGAAGGCCUUAGGGUUGUAAAGCACUUUCAGUGGGGAGAAAGGUUUGUCACCUAAUACGUGAUGAAAUUGAUGUUACCCACAGAAGAAGCACCGGCUAACUCCGUGCCAGCAGCCGCAGUAACAC